UACGUAGGGCGCAAGCGUUGUCCGGAAUUAUUGGGCGUAAAGAGCUCGUAGGCGGUCUGUUACGUCCGCUGUGAAAACCCAGGGCUUAACCCUGGGCUUGCAGUGGAUACGGGUAGACUAGAGGCAGGUAGGGGAGAAUGGAAUUCCCGGUGUAGCGGUGAAAUGCGCAGAUAUCGGGAGGAACACUGGUGGCGAAGGCGGGUCUCUGGGCCGAUACUGACGCUGAGGAGCGAAAGCGUGGGGAGCGAACAGG
rnacentral:rRNA from 1 species